GACGAACGCUGGCGGCGUGCUUAACACAUGCAAGUCGAACGGGCAGGCCCUGCUUUUGUGGGGUGCUCGAGUGGCGAACGGGUGAGUAACACGUGUGUAACCUGCCCUUGCCUUUGGGAUAACUUCAUGCAACUGGGGCUCAUACCGGAUAGGAGCUCCUGCUGCAUGGUCGGGGUUGGAAAGUUUCGGCGGUUGGGGAUGGACUCGCGGCUUAUCAGCUUGUUGGUGGGGUAGUGGCUUACCAAGGCUUUGACGGGUAGCCGGCCUGAGAGGGUGACCGGACACAUUGGGACUGAGAUAAGGCCCAGACUCCUACGGGAGGCAGCGGUGGAGAAGAUUGCACAAGGGGCGGAAGCCUGAUGCAGCAACGCCGCGUGGGGGAUGACGGCCUUCGGGUUGUAAACCGCUUUCGCCUGUGACGAAGCGUGAGUGACGGUAAUGGGUAAAGAAGCACCGGCUAACUACGUG
rnacentral:rRNA from 1 species